UACGGGGGGGGCAAGCGUUGUUCGGAAUUACUGGGCGUAAAGGGUUCGUAGGCGGCUUGUUAAGUCAGACGUGAAAUCCCUCGGCUCAACCCGGGAACUGCGUCCGAUACUGGCAGGCUUGAAUCCGGGAGAGGGAUGCGGAAUUCCAGGUGUAGCGGUGAAAUGCGUAGAUAUCUGGAGGAACACCGGUGGCGAAGGCGGCAUCCUGGACCGGCAUUGACGCUGAGGCGCGAAAGCCAGGGGAGCAAACGGG
rnacentral:rRNA from 1 species